rfam:Nicotiana sylvestris Nsyl_contig1350, whole genome shotgun sequence.
UGGACAAAUUAUUGUAUUCGAUUGUAUUCACGACGUGAAAUAAGGAAUUACACUGUUUUUAAAACAGAAAGUGAAUCAAUUAACAUAAUAGACUCCU